UGGGAGGAUACUUGGUUAGGAGAUUCGCCGCUGGCCUUACAGUAUCCUUCCCUUUACAACAUUGCGCAACGGAAAGAGGUUUCCGUUGCUACAGUGCUGGGUACUAUCCCGCUUAACGUACAGUUUAGACGGUCUGUUAUUGGCGACCGUUGGACUAGGUGGAUACAUCUUGUGCGUAGAUUAAUGGAGGUUAACCUUUCGGAUGUACCAGAUACUUUGCAAUGGAAGCUUUCCAGCUCAGGGGUCUUCUCGGUUAAAUCCAUGUACAUGGAUUUGAUUAAUACCGGGACCAUCCCGAGGACGAUUCAUAUUUGGAAAGUUAAGGUGCCCUUGAAGAUAAAAGUUUUUAUGUGGUUUGUGCAUAAGGGUGUCAUUCUUACUAAAGAUAACUUAGUUAAGCGUAAGUGGGAAGGAAGUAAAAGAUGUUGCUUUUGUGAUCAGGAUGAAACAAUAGAACAUCUAUUUAUCAAAUGUCCACUUGCUAAAUUGCUUUGGAGAACUAUCCAUGUUACAUUCAACAUCACUCCACCUCGCACGAUAUCGCAUUUGUUUGAUAACUGGUUGACUGGAGUG
rnacentral:rRNA from 1 species